rnacentral:rRNA from 1 species
UGGCGGAAACGCCAAAGGCUUCGGUCGCCUUGGGAUGGGCUCGCGUCCUAUCAGCUAGUUGGUGCGGUAACGGCGCACCAAGGCAUUGACAGGUAGCUGGUCUGAGAGGAUGGUCAGCCACACUGGGACUGAGACACUGCCCAGACUCCUACGGGAGGCUGCAGUCGAGAAUCUUCCGCAAUGCGCGAAAGCGUGACGGAGCGAUGCCGCGUGCGGGAUGAAGGCCCUCGGGUCGUAAACCGCUGUCACCCGGAACGAAUAUUUGACGGUACCGGGAGAGGAAGCCACGGCUAACUACGUGCCAGCAGCCGCGGUAAUACGUAGGUGGCGAGCGUUAUUCGGAUUUAUUGGGCGUAAAGGGUCCGCAGGGGGUUUCCCAAGUCUGAUGUGAAAGCCCACGGCUCAACCGUGGAACUGCAUUGGAAACUGGGAGGCUUGAGGGCCGGAGAGGAAAGCGGAAUUCCAGGUGUAGCGGUGGAAUGCGUAGAUAUCUGGAGGAACAUCAAUGGCGAAGGCAGCUUUCUGGCCGGUUCCUGACCCUCAUGGACGAAAGCCGGGGGAGCAAACAGGAUUAGAUACCCUGGUAGUCCCGGCCGCAAACGUUGUACACUCGGUGUGGGGGGAUUUGGUCCCUUCUGUGCCUCAGCUAACGCGUUAAGUGUACCGCCUGGGGAGUACGGCGACAACGCUAAAACUCAAAGGAAUUGACGGGGGCCCGCACAAGCGGUGGAGCAUGUGGCUUAAUUCGAGGCAACGCGAAGAACCUUACCUGGGUUUGACAUGUUGGUGACCGCCGGCGAAAGUCGGUUUCUCUUUUGAGCACCAUCACAGAUGCUGCAUGGCUGUCGUCAGCUCGUGUCGUGAGAUGUUCGGUUAAGUCCGGCAACGAGCGCAACCCGUGUCACCAGUUACCAGCGGAUCAUGCCGGGGACUCUGGUGAGACUGCCCGUGCUAAGCGGGAGGAAGGCGCGGAUGACGUCAAGUCCGUAUGGCUCUUACGUCCAGGGCUGCACACGUGCUACAAUGGCCGGUACAAUGGGCCGCGACCUCGCGAGAGGCAGCGAAUCCGGAAAACCGGCCCCAGUUCGGAUUGGAGUCUGCAAUUCGACU